rnacentral:misc_RNA from 1 species
CUUCCGGCGUCCCUCGUUUCAGCUCCUCGGCAUUCGCCAUCUCCUGAACACCCGACCCAAUAGCGCAUAUGGCAGCUGCCGCAGCAGCAAACAUCACAGCCCUACGCCCGUUGCUCCCCUUGUCGGCACUGCCGGCAGCCUUCACUGUGUCCUGGCCUUCGACUCCGGCUGCUUUGGCAACGAUGAGAGUCCGGCGGCCUAGGGCGGGCUUCUGGUUGAUGUGAGCUCCGACGAAGAGUGGGGCAGUCAUGGUGAACGAUGCCAUGCUUAGGAGUCGAAGGCCAGGACAC